rnacentral:rRNA from 1 species
CUGCUAUCGAGAUCCGACUAAACCAUGCGAGUUGAAUGUCGUAAGACAUGGCGGAANGCUCAGUAACACGUGGACAACCUACCCUUGGGACUGGGAUAAUCCUGGGAAACUGGGGAUAAUACCGGAUGGGCGACAUUUGCUGGAAUGCAUUGUUGCUGAAAGCUCCGGCGCCCAAGGAUGGGUCUGCGGCCUAUCAGGGUAGUAGUGGGUGUAAUGUACCUACUAGCCGACGACGGGUACGGGUUGUGAGAGCAAGAGCCCGGAGAUGGAUUCUGAGACACGAAUCCAGGCCCUACGGGGUGCAGCAGGUGCGAAAACUUUACAAUGCGGGAAACCGUGAUAAGGGGAUCUCGAGUGCCAGCAUAUAAUGUUGGCUGUCUAGAUGCUUAAAACGCAUUCAUUAGCAAGGGCCGGGCAAGACCGGUGCCAGCCGCCGCGGUAACACCGGCGGCCCGAGUGGUAACCGUUUUUAUUGGGUCUAAAGGGUCUGUAGCCGGCCAUGUAAGUCCUUUGGGAAAUCUGGUAGCUCAACUAUCAGGCUGCCAGGGGAUACUGCUUGGCUUGGGACCGGGAGAGGUGAGAGGUACCUCAGGGGUAGGGGUGAAAUCUUGUGAUCCUUGAGGGACCACCAGUGGCGAAGGCGUCUCACCAGAACGGGUCCGACGGUAAGGGACGAAAGCUAGGGGCACGAACCGAAUAGAUACCCGGGUAGUCUAGCCGUAACGAUGCUCGCUAGGUGUCAGUCACGGGCGACNUGAUUGGUGCCUAGGAACCCUGAACCAGCCCCUGGAAGUAUGGCCCAAGCUGAACUUAAGAAUG